AUAACACAAUACAUACACUAAAUUUGGAAUGAUACAGAUAAAAGGAUAGCCCCUGAGUAAGGAUGACAUACAAAGUGAUAAACUGUUCCAUAUUUUU
rnacentral:snRNA from 1 species